rnacentral:rRNA from 1 species
GUGGGAACCACCUGACCCCAUGCCGAACUCAGCAGUGAAACCGCUCAGCGCCGAUGGUAGUGUGGGGUCUCCCCAUGUGAGAGUAGGUCAUCGUCAGGC